CAUUACACUAGGCGAAGUUAAAAAAAGAGGGAGUGACGUGUCGGUGGAUUCACAAUGGGAUUAUUAUAACAAAGCGCAGAGCUUUGAUUGUAGAGAAGAAACUAAGCUCUAACUCCUCUGAAUUCUGAAUCUCUCUCUCUCUCUCUCUCUCUGUGUUUGUAUCAGAGAAAGAGGAAGAGGAAGAAAUUAAGGGAAAGGUCUGGCGGCCGGGAUAAAAAGCGGAGCAGUGAGACUGGUGGUGGGGUGUAGGAGAAAGAUCAGAGCUAAGAGAAAAGCUAAUAAAUUGAUGGAUUGGUGGCAUAAGAUGAUUUUUCCUGUAAGAAGAGUUUGGAUUUCUAUCUCUGCUCGUUUCAAGCCUCGGGAUAAUGGUGCUGGUCUUCUGAAGCUUCACAAUGAUAUACAGACCUGUGGAUAUGAGGAUGUCCAAGUUAUGUGGGAGAUGUUGAGAAGAUCAGAAACAGAACAGAUAACUAACCAACCCAAGCGCAAGCAACGACCUUUCUGGAAAGUUUUUGUAUGGUCUAACAAUAGUGGAACAUCUUCCUUCUCUGCAAACCAUGCCUAAUACAAGAAGACACAGCAUACUGCGUGCUAAUAAUGAUGAGCUGCUCGUGUCCUGCAACUUCAUGGGCAUCCAUCAUAGGUUUUACCAUCCAACGGCCGUUAUUGCAGUAGCAUGGUACAGAGCUGUUGCUGAGUUUAUCAGAAAUCGGUGCAAAUAUGUGUCAAAAGUUUUACCUUUAUGUGAGAAAACAAGUUCCUGUCAAAUGACAAGUCAUUUGUAAAUACAUAAUGUUUUGUCAUAACCCAUAAAUGAUAUCUUACUUGGAAUA